ensembl:lncRNA NR2F1-AS1 NR2F1 antisense RNA 1
GGACGGGAGCCGCUCCCGGGCGGCACACAGCCGAGUCCCUCCUCCCCUCCCCGCAGGCAGCCUGUGCCUUUUCUCCAAACGAAGACAGCACUUUGAAAAUUCUUUCAAUGGAUUUUUUUUUCCUUGAAAGAUCGUACUGGGGGAAAAUGAUACUUCUAUUAGUUACAUAUUCUCCAAUCGCAUACUCGCACCCCCCUCGUUUUGAGAUCGCUCCCCUAGGCAGGCUCAGGCGGGCGCGGAGCCGCGCGGAGUGACAAAGCCGCCGCUGCCGCCGCCGGGGGUGGGAGCCGCGCUCGCCCGCCCGCCCCUCGACUCGCGAGGGCGUAAAAGUUUGUCUCAGCUCGAGCAUUCCUAGCGCCAACACGCCCUCAGGUAAAGGUGGAAGUAAAUGGCCACGCUGUAUUGACAGAGCAGGUAGAUGAAACUCAAGAGAAAAGGUGUGGAUAAAUGAAACUAGCCCAUGAUGAACCUGUUUUCUCCGUGACCACAAUAUUAACCAGGAUGAAUGGCGGUGGCAGUGGGCCUGCAUCACAGGUUGCAGCAGAUGUUCUCAAUAUUUCUAUUAAAAUUUCCUUAUUUCCAUAUGCAAGAGGAGCCCCAGAGCUGCAUCCUUAUGGUAGCUACCAUGCCGUGAUGUAAGCUGCCAUUCACUGGGGAGCUUUGGCAAUAGAAUUGGCUAGAUCAGGAAGCCUAUGUCAACUAUGGAACAACAACUUGCAGCUCAUCUCUAUUGAUGAUACACUGCCUCUAGGACUGGGACAGAUAGCCACUGAGUACCUGCUUCAAAUCACCCUGCACGUUUUCUCUUUGGAAAGAUAAGCACUGGAGAACCAUCUCGUUACCUUCAGCAGAAAUGGAAACAAAUCAAGACAUUAAGAAUGCCGCAGUGGACAGCAGUUAUGCAAGGUUCAGCAGAGGAAGUUUUCAAGAUGGUGUGCCUCACUAGCCAGAAAUCAGAAAAGAUCGAAGCUAGCCUUUUCAUCUCAGCUGCUCCUUAAAUCAGUGCAACCCCUCCAAAUUAAUGUGAAUUGAAACUUGCAUUGCUUUUCAACUUAAUUGAAUACUUACUAUAUGUGAACCACUGCACAAAAUAGGGGAAGAAGAUGUGGGAGACAAAGAUGUGGAGCCUGUCUUCAAUAAAUUUACAGUUAGUUUCAGGGUACAUUGUUUUUCUUCUGCUGUUAAUUAGGUGUAUCCCCAAGACAAUAAAUACAUGAAUGGAAAAGUAUAUUCUGUGUUUUAAGUCUCUUUAAUAAAAAACAAAACAAAAUCCAAAAAAACUCCUAACAUGGCAACUCAGGACAUUUUAAUCCUUUUUUUUGUUGUUGGGCUUCUGAUAGGAUCCAUUUUAUUGAUUCCAUAAAUAUUUAGUAGACUUUAGACAUAUUAAUACAUUGUAGUUUGAGUUAAUUUGCAUUAAAUUCUGUUUUUUUCCCCUUAGGUAUAGAUUGUCUGUUGGAAAAAUAUAUUGCUUGUGGAUUUCUUGGGGAGUGGGAAGGUGAAUUAUACCUGUUGUCUCUACAGUCCACUACCUUCCACACCCUAGGGCAGUGGUCCCCAACCUUCUUGGCACCAGGGAUCAGUUUCCUGGAAGACAAUUUUUCUGUGGAUGGUGUGGGGAUGGUUUUGGGAUGGAACUGUUCCACCUCAGAUCAUCAGGCAUUAGUUAGGCUCUCAUAACGAGUGCGCAGCCUAGAUCCCUCACAUGCACAGUUCACAGUAGGGUUUGCGCUGCUAUGAGAAUCUAAGGCUGCCACUGAUCUGACAGGAGGCAGAACUCAGGUGGCAAUGCUUACUGGCCCACUGCUCACCUCUUGCUGUGCGGCCUGGUUCCUAAUAGGCCAUGGACCCCCACAGACGGGUACUAGUCUGCAGCCUGUGGACCCCAGCCCUAGGGGCCUGCCAUUCUGAGUGAGUUAUUAGCAUGAAGAAGAGGAAGAUCUGGAUCAAACGUGGGUGAUGGUACUCAGAGACCCAAGAUAGGAUAGGGAUGGAACAAAAUCCAUCUGGGCAACGGCUCUAUGAAAAUUUGGCUAAGUAAUUAUUUCAGUAUUCAUUGUAUUCAUUGUCCUUCGUGUUCCAUAAGUUAAAUGACUGUCUAAUUUUUCCAAAAAUUUAUUUCUGACUUGAGAAUAAGUGUGUCAUGAUUUUCCCAGUGUAAAGACACUGAUAUAACUGUAGAUACCAGACAUUUUAUGUAGUGUCUAUGACACAUUUUAGUAUGUAUGAGCCAACAAUAGACAUGUCUUUGUCUUGAGGAGUGUCCAUCUGAAUUGAAAAUGUGUCAGCUUUUUUUUAACAUCAUCAACAGACUUCUUAAUUAAGCUGCCAAUACAUACUGCCAAUAGCACUGUGUGCUGUCUGAGAAAUGCAUUGUGUAAGUGCUAUUUCCAUCUUAUUAAAUAAACAAUGUUGCUCUGUAUAAACUGGAUUUAAAGUGUUCUUUGAAUGAGGCAUUAUAUUGCUCCAUAAAUAAUGUGAUGUGAAUUCUCAUAUGAUCCCUUUUAACUUAAUUUCUAAAAAAAUAUUAUUUGCUCCUCAGUAAGGAAUAGCUCUAAUUGGACUGGUAACUUUAGUGAUAUGAUUUGUCUGUAACAGGCUGAAUCGCCCCACUCCCAAACUCCUGGUCGUGAUACUGGAUAUUUGUUAUGCCACUUUUAGUUUGCAUGAGGUAUCUUCCAGGAAGUAUUAGUUAUUAACUUGUGUUCUACUAAACUGUAGAUAUUUAUUUCCUGUUCUGGAAGAUUUCUUGGAGUGUCCAUCUGUGCAUUCCUGGUGCCUAGUGUAGUCUUGCUAAUGGAAUAGCACCUUUAUUGGUGCUACUUAGGGGUUGGUAGCUUACAAUCAAUCUACUUGGAACGUAUCCAAAUAAACUGGAU